rnacentral:rRNA from 1 species
UACGUAGGUGGCAAGCGUUGUCCGGAUUUAUUGGGCGUAAAGAGCGCGCAGGCGGUUCGUUAAGUCCGAGGUGAAAUCUCCCGGCUCAACCGGGAGGGGUCAUCGGAUACUGGCGGACUAGAGACAGGUAGAGGAAAGCAGAAUUCCCGGUGUAGCGGUGAAAUGCGUAGAUAUCGGGAGGAAUACCAGUGGCGAAGGCGGCUUUCUGGGCCUGUUCUGACGCUGAGGAGCGAAAGCGUGGGGAGCAAACAGG